rnacentral:sRNA from 1 species
AAAAUCUGUGUAGCGGCGAGCAAGGCCGCGUUUCGAGAAGAUAUAAAAAUUGAGAACUCGACGACUCUGGGAGAGUGGUUCGCGCGAGUCGACUCGGCCCAUACCGGAAACAUCACGGCGCCUCAGCUCAAGAGCGCUCUUGCUGUUAGUAAUAAAGUGAGCUGCUUUAAGCCGUGGUUAGCGGUUCAUGUUUUCUUUAUAAUUCGUGCACUUUAAUGUGUAUCACAGACAUUAGGCUACAACUAAUCGUGGCUAUCUUGUUCCUGAUGAUGUGCAUGAGCUAAGCAAGGCAGAGUGACUCUGGAUCUCAACCAGUUUGUCUACUGCAGUGAAGUCUUGGUGAUCCAUCAACUAUAUGAUGUUUUUCGAAUUGGAAGAUGUAGAGAAAGACAAUACUCCAAACUCCAGAGUAUUGCUUCUCAGUUAGUGCAAACUCCACACUAGCCCAAGACUUACAACCAACAGUAAAGAGAAAGAAUGGAACUCAACGAAGAUGAAUCAACUUUCACUAACAAGGAAAUAAGCUUACAAGUUACAACACUCUCCCCAAGAGCAUGAACAAUACCAUCAAAAGGAAAGAUGAAAAACUAACUCAAAAGGAUAAGCAGCAGCUAGUUAUCAAUGCAAUUGAAGACUAUUGUCUGGAAGGAACACCAAAACAUAAAGGAGUGCCACUGCACCAUGAAAACAUGCGGGUUCCCAAGACAGCCACAAUUAAGGAAUUAAUAUAAGUUGUUGGGUAUGUGGUAAGUCAUUCUAGAAAAACCACUUUAAUUUUAACAGAAGAAGCGCCCAUGGUGAGAAUGAUCAAGAACUGGAAGGAGAUCUUGAUGACGACGAUGAUGAGGAAGAAGCCCAGAACAUGCAAGCAAGUGAUCACGAGGAUGAAAGCGAAGGUAGCGCCCAGAACAUGCAAGAAGCAAGUGAGCAUGAUGAUGGAGGAGAGGCCGACGAGAGCUAUGAUCAGUAUGGUGACGAGGAACACCAAAACAUGCACGAAGCAAUUGAUCAUGAGGAAUGGGAUGAUGAUAAUGACUAUUUAAGUACAAAUGAUUUUAGAGUUUACAAGAUGGAUGUUCAGACUGGUAACUUUCUCAAGUUACAAAGACCGGACCAGAUAUUAUGUUUGACCGAUUAUGGUUCAAUGUCUCUUCAAGCGAGUGAUUUCAAAGAGUUGGAAAAGAAUAGUAUUUACUUCGCAACAAAUGGAACCUCCG